rnacentral:rRNA from 1 species
AGCGAACGUUUGCGGCGGGCUUAACACAUGCAAGUCGAACGAGAAUCCCUUCGGGGAGGAAAGUGGCGCACGGGUGCGUAACACGUGGAUAACCAACCCAUUGGUUUGGGACAACACCGGGAAACUGGUGCUAAUACCAGAUGUGUCGCAGCUGUCUUCAGGCGGUUGCGAGAAAGGCCCGCAAGGGUCGCCAACGGACGGGUCCGCGUCCCAUCAGCUAGUUGGUGAGGUAAUGGCUCACCAAGGCAAAGACGGGUAGCUGGUCUGAGAGGAUGAUCAGCCACACUGGAACUGAGACACGGUCCAGACUCCUACGGGAGGCAGCAGUGGGGAAUAUUGCACAAUAGGAGGAAACGUACUGAUGCAGCAACGACCGCCGU